AGCAACAGAAAGCAGAACGUCCUCUCUUCUCUGCAGCUCCAUGUGUCAUCAUGACGCAGAACAAAAUGUGAUUCAUGUAAAUCAUCCACUGCAGCGACGUUGUUGACCUUUAAUCGUUCUGAAGUCGGGAAGUUGUGUUUGUUUGUUUUUUUGUUUUUUUUUCUGGGCUUGCCAGGGGGCGGAUCUCCACAGCUGGAGGCAGCAGAGCGACGCUUCAGUCUCUUCAUACGGCAACACCGCGAUGUCUUGGAUCAAACUCCUGCUUUUUGCCACCUGUGCAGAUCUUCAGACAUCACCAGAAGGCAGCAUUCAGAGGCAGCAGAGUUUAUUGUCAACAAAAUCCCCCAGAGAAGUUCUGAGCAGCAGCUAGAAUCACCAGAUCCUCUGUGAUCUGGAAGUUGUAAUGUGACUCGCUGUCAGACCAAGAGGGCUACCAGAGCAGCUCUGGUGGCAGCCUGAGUGGCUCUGAGUCCCCCACGCUGGACACCACCUGCCGCCUUCCCAUCUCUGAUGACUAGACUGCACGCAUCCACCAGUGACACAAAGAGAACAUGGCACUCCCCUCUACCUCUGCCCCUUCUACAGCUUCCCUGUCCUCCUCUACACAAGAUACUGUUAGUUCCUCAAUAGAAUUCUAAGGAUGUAAUCAAUUAAGGGAACCCGACUCAAAUUAUCAUUUCAUCCCGGCUAAUCUGCACAGCAAGUUUUAAAAAGUACCCUGUCAUGUGUCAUAGUGCCAAAAAGGAGAGGAAAUUGAACAAUGAAAAUCAUGAGAACAAGAAUUGACUGUUUUCCCAGGUGCCACUUGUUUUUUUUUUCUUUCUUCUUCAUUUGUUCGUGAAUGUGUAGCAGCACAAGUGGCCUUGGAAAGGGGAGUGCAUUGCACUAGCCCCUCCCCCCCGAUGAUACCACUUCCCCUGAGCUAGCUAGAGGGUGCUCACUAAUGUAACUGUAGCUUACCACAGACGUUUUACAGACUGAGUUAAGACAAAAAGGAAAAAAAAAUAAAAAAUAAGACCCUGAAAAUAUAUGAAUAGUUUUUUUUAAAAAAAAUAAUAAUAAGAAAAAAGUGCCUGGGGCGGUUUCUGCAUGUGUUUAGGGUGAAUGGACUAUUGUUUGUUUAUGAUUCUUUCUCAUUUGCCCCCCCUCACCCCCUUUUAUCGUCAUGGUUCUCCUCAAACCCCGGUUUAUGUAAUUGUGAUCUGGGUGAGUCUGCAGGAAGGACUUUGAACUGGAAGUUGGUUAUGUCCUCCUCCUCCUCCUCCUCCUGUUUUCUCCUCCUGUUGCUGGUCACUGGCUCUUUUUUGUUGUUGUUUGGGAAGGAAGUCUCGAUAUCAAGCUGAUCAUUAAACCUGUAAGACUUUGUCCUGCCCCCUGCCUCCAUUCGACACACACCUCCCUCUUCAUCCUCACCGAUCUGGGAAUUCUAGCAUUCCCAUGGUGCAGUUGUACAUCCUACAACUUGACAAGAUCGGAUCUCCAAGCUAUUUUACUUUACUUUCUCCCCCCCUCCAACUUUAGAACCUGCUCCAAGGAGCAUUCUGUACUCAUUACAUCUCUCUUUUUGCUUUCUUUAUUUGAUAAUUAUUUUUUAUUAAUGUUAUUAUUAUAGUUAUUAUUAUUUGAAAAACUUUACAGACAGAAGGUUUGCGUGUCACUGCUUAUUUAACUUAUCAGAACAUAUUUAUUGGUGAUCAUAUGCAUUUUUUGUUAAUUUUGUUUUUGUAUUUAUCUGGAUAAUGAACAAUAGGAUAUGUUUUCUUUUAUGUUAAAUUAUGAUCUUCCAUAUUAAUCUAAAGAUUGUGAAGACGUUUUUGUCAGUUUUCCUUUUCUCACAGUUUAAUAUAUUGUACUUCGAUGACUUUUGUUCUGCAACUACACUUUGUCAAAAUGAAACUUAAUUUCCCAGCCAGCAGGCAGAUGGGUUCCCCCACAUAAAGAGCCGGGUUCUGCUCCAGGUUUUUUUCCCUGUUAAAGGGUGUUUUACUGCCACUGUCUCCUUUUGGCUGCUCUGGGGGUUCAGGCAUAUGGGUUCUGUAAAGUGUCUUGAGACGAAUUGAAAUGAUAAACUUGUUGACAUUUUCACUUAUUUUUCUUAAGAAAUUUCAGGUUGUUCAUAAUGUUUUGUAAAAAGAUAGUUCAUUAAAUGUGAAUUUUUCUGUACUAAAACAAUAGGAAACAUUAGGAGUUGUUAUUUACAGGUUUUUAAGCUGUGCUUUUACUGGUCCGGCCCUUUGAGAUCAAACUGGGCUGAAUGUGGAUGUGAACUAAAAGGAGUUUGACACUCCUGGUUUAACACCAAAUCUCCUCCACCCAAGAGAGUUCAUGUUGGAGUUCCACAUCAUGUUUGCGCUGACAACGUUGGACACUUGUCUGUGAAAUAUGAAAUGUGAUUUGCUUCUUUGCGUCACUGAGGAAAGAAUUUCUUCCAGUUCACUGAAGUGUAAGUAUUUCCAUGUUAUGCUACCUUAUACUUGUAUUUUGUAGGCAAACAUUAAACUUUACAUUAUUCUAAGGCUUUAAAUACCAGCUAUUUUACAGAUUUAAACUUUGAUAUUAUAUUCUAAUAAAUUAAACCACCCAGCAGUGUAUAAAGUUGAUGAAAUGAGCUCCAGCUGCAUCAUUAACGUGAUUUUACACAUUAAUGAACCAAUUUAUGAUCCAGAAAUGGGUCAUUCUGGGUAAAGAGAAGUUUUAAUUGUGGAGUUUUAACACUUUUCCUUAAAUAAAUGCUUUUUCUUAACCAA